UGCGAAGGCAGCUUUCUGGAUCAUUACUGACACUGAGGAACGAAAGCAUGUGUAGCGAAGAGGAUUAGAUACCCUCGUAGUCCAUGCCGUAAACGAUGUGUGUUAGACGUUGGAAAUUUAUUUUCAGUGUCGCAGGGAAACCGAUAAACACACCGCCUGGGGAGUACGACCGCAAGGUUAAAACUCAAAUGAAUUGACGGGGACCCGCACAAGUAGUGGAGCAUGUGGUUUAAUUCGAAGAUACGCGCAGAACCUUACCAACACUUGACAUGUUCGUCGCGACUCUAAGAGAUUAGAGUUUUCGGUUUGGCCGGACGAAACACAGGUGCUGCAUGGCUGUCGUCAGCUCGUGUCGUGAGAUGUUGGGUUAAGUCCCGCAACGAGCGCAACCCUCACUUUUAGUUGCCAUCAUUAAGUUGGGCACUCUGAAAGAACUGCCAGUGAUAAGCUGGAGGAAGGUGGGGAUGACGUCAAGUCCUCAUGGCCCUUACGUGUUGGGCUACACACGUGCUACAAUGGCAUCUACAACAGGAAGCAAAACGGCAACGUUAAGCAAAUCCCGAAAAGAUGCCUCAGUUCGGAUUGCACUCUGCAACUCGAGUGCAUGAAGCUGGAAUUACUAGUAAUCGUGGAUCAGCGUGCCACGGUGAAUGCGUUCCCGGGUCUUGUACACACCGCCCGUCACACCAUGGGAGUUGGUUCUACCUUAAGGCAAGGUUUCAAACCCUUGACCACGGUAUAGUCAGCGACUGGGGUGAAGUCGUAACAAGGUAACCGUA
rnacentral:rRNA from 1 species